rnacentral:rRNA from 1 species
UACGUAGGGGGCAAGCGUUGUCCGGAUUUAUUGGGCGUAAAGAGCGUGUAGGCGGCCAGACAGGUCCGUUGUGAAAACUCGAGGCUCAACCUCGAGAUGUCGAUGGAAACCGUCUGGCUAGAGUCCGGAAGAGGAGUGUGGAAUUACUGGUGUAGCGGUGAAAUGCGCAGAUAUCAGGAAGAACACCUAUGGCGAAGGCAGCACUCUGGGACGGUACUGACGCUGAGGCGCGAAAGCGUGGGGAGCGAACAGG